GUCGGGAGCCAGGUGCUCCACGCACGAGAAUGCCGUGAGGGGCUCGGGAGAUGUGUGCGACCUCGGCUUCUUGCAAGGUUGAACUGAACCGAACCGCGCGCGGGUCCGCGAGCGCCUUCUGGAGCCGCAGACCUGGACUCCAAGAACCGGAGCGACUGUUCCAGUGGGAAGGACAAAAGGACGGAAUUACGCCUCCUGCCAGCUGGGAUCUCAGACGUCAGCCACCAUGCCAGCUCUCGCUGUCUUUUAAGGCCGUUUUCCUAUUUCUUUUGGAGAGCUUCGUAUGUGGAUCGGAUAUAGCUGCUUAGUGAAUUAUGGGCAACUUAAAAGUGUAAACAGGACACUGUGUCUUUAUUGUCAGAAUGUGCUUGCCGGAAAUUAAAGAGUGAAUCUCACAAUGCCUGCCAAGCCUUUAGUGACUCAACAAAAAUGAACUGUCACAGGACGGGACAGAGAGCGCAGGUGCAAAUGUAGCAAAAGGUUAACAACAGUCCGCUAAGGUUUCUCUGUCCGAAAUUUUUUACAGCAAAAAGAUGAGGCAAAUACUAUGUUAUUAUUAUUAUGAUAUUGUUAUUGUCUUAUAUCAUUCUGGCCCGCUGUGGUUACUACCACAGAAAAAUAAGAUCCACACACGACAGAGACUGGUGACUUUCAGUACUGCAUUCUGACUUUAUCGUAAUGUUGCUUGAGCGAAAAAUAAAAAUUGUAAUAAACAAGA